rnacentral:rRNA from 1 species
GUGGGGAAUUUUCCGCAAUGGGCGCAAGCCUGACGGAGCAAGACCGCGUGGGGGAGGAAGGUCUGUGGAUUGUAAACCCCUUUUGACUGGGAAGAACACAAUGACGGUACCAGUCGAAUCAGCCUCGGCUAACUCCGUGCCAGCAGCCGCGGUAAUACGGAGGAGGCAAGCGUUAUCCGGAUUUAUUGGGCGUAAAGCGUCCGCAGGUGGUUUAGCAAGUCUGCUGUCAAAGCGCGAAGCUCAACUUCGUAUAGGCCGUGGAAACUGCUGAACUUGAGUGUGAUAGGGGCAGAGGGAAUUCCCAGUGUAGCGGUGAAAUGCGUAGAGAUUGGGAAGAACACCGGUGGCGAAAGCGCUCUGCUGGGUCAUAACUGACACUGAGGGACGAAAGCUAGGGGAGCGAAAGGGAUUAGAUACCCUAGUAGUCC